rnacentral:rRNA from 1 species
AGCAGCCGCGGUAAUUCCAGCUCCAAUAGCGUAUAUUAAAGUUGUUGCAGUUAAAAAGCUCGUAGUUGAAUUUCGGGAUUGACGUGACGGUCAUGCCUUAAGGGGUAUGAACUGUUACAGUUGAUUUCUCACCUUCUGGAGAAACUUGAUGUCCUUUAUUGGGUGUCUUGCGGAUCCAGGACCUUUACCUUGAAAAAAUUAGAGUGUUUAAAGCAGGCAUUUUUGCUCGAAUACAUUAGCAUGGAAUAAUAGAAUAGGACGGCAUGGUUCUAUUUUGUUGGUUUCUAGGAUCACCGUAAUGAUUAAUAGGGAUAGUUGGGGGCAUUAGUAUUCAAUUGUCAGAGGUGAAAUUCUUGGAUUUAUUGAAGACUAACUACUGCGAAAGCAUUUGCCAAGGAUGUUUUCAUUAAUCAAGAACGAAAGUUAGGGGAUCGAAGACGAUCAGAUACCGUCGUAGUCUUAACCAUAAACUAUGCCGACUAGGAAUCAGACGAUGUUAAUUUUUUAANGUACUCGUUUG